ACGAACGCUGGCGGCGUGCCUAAUACAUGCAAGUUGCGCGAUGAAGAUUGGUGCUUGCACCACUUUGAAGAGCAGCGAACGGGUGAGUAACGCGUGGGGAAUCUGCCUUUGAGCGGGGGACAACAUUUGGAAACGAAUGCUAAUACCGCAUAACAACUUUAAACAUAAGUUUUAAGUUUGAAAGAUGCAAUUGCAUCACUCAAAGAUGAUCCCGCGUUGUAUUAGCUAGUUGGUGAGGUAAAGGCUCACCAAGGCGAUGAUACAUAGCCGACCUGAGAGGGUGAUCGGCCACAUUGGGACUGAGACACGGCCCAAACUCCUACGGGAGGCAGCAGUAGGGAAUCUUCGGCAAUGGACGAAAGUCUGACCGAGCAACGCCGCGUGAGUGAAGAAGGUUUUCGGAUCGUAAAACUCUGUUGGUAGAGAAGAACGUUGGUGAGAGUGGAAAGCUCAUCAAGUGACGGUAACUACCCAGAAAGGGACGGCUAACUACGUG
rnacentral:rRNA from 1 species